rnacentral:lncRNA from 1 species
UUGAAGAUGCGAGAUAAUGACGCCCAUAUUAUCACAAUAGAAAGUAUUAACAUCCACAAAAUAUCCCAUAUAGCACAACGAAAAUUACAGAGAAACAAAAACCCGCGUCCUCUUGGAAAGAGCCGAUGUGCAGGCUGUGCAGACCGGGGACCGAAAUAAGAACAAACGAAUCAAAGAAUUUCUUUCACUUUACCCCCUCUCCACUUUUUUUCUUGCGCGCAGGUCCCCGCGCCCCAGAAAAUCGAAGGCCGCCGUGGAAAUCGAAGGAAGCCGAGG